AGUGAACGCUGGCGGUAGGCCUAACACAUGCAAGUCGAACGGCAGCACAGUAAGAGCUUGCUCUUACGGGUGGCGAGUGGCGGACGGGUGAGGAAUACAUCGGAAUCUACUUUUUCGUGGGGGAUAACGUAGGGAAACUUACGCUAAUACCGCAUACGACCUACGGGUGAAAGCAGGGGAUCUUCGGACCUUGCGCGAUUGAAUGAGCCGAUGUCGGAUUAGCUGGUUGGCGGGGUAAAGGCCCACCAAGGGGACGAUCCGUAGCUGGUCUGAGAGAAUGAUCAGCCACACUGGAACUGAGACACGGUCCAGACGCCUGCGGGAGGGAGCAGUGGGGAAUAUCGGACAAUGGGAGCAAGCCUGAUCCAGCCAUACCGCGUGGGUGAAGAAGGCCUUCGGGUUGUAAAGCCCUUUUGUUGGGAAAGAAAAGCAGCAGGUUAAUACCCCGCUGUUCUGACGGUACCCAAAGAAUAAGCACCGGCUAACUUCGUG
rnacentral:rRNA from 1 species